UACGUAGGGGGCAAGCGUUGUCCGGAAUCAUUGGGCGUAAAGCGCGUGUAGGCGGUUCGGUAAGUCUGCUGUGAAAGGCCUGGGCUCAACCCGGGAAUUGCGCUUGAGACUGGGCUGGCUUGAGUGCGGGAGAGGAUGGUGGAAUUCCCAGUGUAGAGGUGAAAUUCGUAGAUAUUGGGAAGAACACCGGUGGCGAAGGCGGCCAUCUGGACCGCAACUGACGCUGAGGCGCGAAAGCGUGGGGAGCAAACAGG
rnacentral:rRNA from 1 species